UCCUACGGGAGGCAGCAGUGAGGAAUAUUGCACAAUGGGGGAAACCCUGAUGCAGCGACGCCGCGUGGGUGAUGAAGGUUUUCGGAUCGUAAAGCCCUUUUCUGCAUGACGAGCAAGGACGGUAGUGCAGGAAUAAGUGUCGGCUAACUACGUGCCAGCAGCCGCGGUAAAACGUAGGACACAAGCGUUAUCCGGAAUUACUGGGCGUAAAGGGCGUGCAGGCGGUUGAGUAAGUUAGGCGUGAAAGACUUCGGCUAAACCGGGGGAGGUCGUCUGAUACUGCUCAACUAGAGUGUGGGAGAGGCGUGUAGAAUUCCGGGUGUAGUGGUGAAAUGCGUAGAGAUCCGGAGGAAUACCAGUGGCGAAGGCGGCACGCUGGGCCAUAACUGACGCUAAGACGCGAAAGCAUGGGUAGCGAACGGGAUUAGAUACCCCGGUAGUC
rnacentral:rRNA from 1 species